UCGGCCUCCCUAAGUUUUCGGAUCACAGGCGUGAGCCACCACGCCCAGCCGGAUUGCAAUUUUAAAUAGCAUAAUCAGAGAGGCUUAAUGGAAGAGGUAAUAUUUGAGGAAAGACCUGAAGAAGGUAAGGGAGUAGGCACUGAAGAUAUUGGGGGAACAGUGCUCCCCGAGACAUCUGGGCAGCCAGGCACAGGGACCACAAGCAGAAAAGGGUCCUGUGAGGGUUUCGUGUUUUCUUUACAAUUUGUCAAUGUGAACACCAUGCUCACACCAAAGAACAGCAAGUUUCCUACCUGGCUUCUCUGCCUUCCUCCUUCCUUCCCUCCCUUCCUCCCUCCUUCCUUCCUUUCUUCCUUUCUUCCUUCCGUUCUCCCUUUCUUCCCAAUAUGCCCCACUUCAAUGGAUGAGUUUUCCAGCUCCCUCGGCUGCUUUCUGCAUUGCACAUGACAAGUAUCCACUAAAUAUUCAUUCAUUAGAAACAGCCAGACGAUGCUGAGCCUCUGUAGCUCUCUAGCAUCUACCAUAGCACAGAUCUCAGGAAGACCCACAAGAUACAUUUGUCAACAAGUCGAUGGCCUCCUAUGUGGCCCUGUGCUGUGUGCUGAGGCUACAGGAAGGAACAAAGCCUCCUAUCUGGGGGCCCACUUCUGCAGUUAAGUUCAUCUGGUGUCCUUUGUAAUACUGCAAAGAGAACUUCUUACGCUGUAGCUGAAUGAGAGAAAUAUCCCAUUCCAAACCUCUGAUGGAAACUGGCCAAGUCAGCGUGUGAGAGGAAGAAGGAAGAAAAAGUUUGCCUACCCUUGCACCGGAAGCAGGAGGGAAAGAGAUGGGCUUGUUGGAAACCAGGAAAGGAGAAAUUGACAGAGCUGCAGGGAGCAAUCCCUUUCCACCUUCACCCAGGACUGAGAUCAUGUCAUACAAAAGCCCUGUGUUGUUCAGAGGACCAGAGGGGCUGGAGUGGAGUGAAGUGGUGUGAUCUCGGCUUACUGCAA
rnacentral:lncRNA from 1 species